rnacentral:rRNA from 1 species
CCUACGGGAGGCAGCAGUGGGGAAUAUUGGACAAUGGGGGGAACCCUGAUCCAGCCAUGCCGCGUGUGUGAAGAAGGCCCUCGGGUUGUAAAGCACUUUCAGUGAGGAAGAACGCCUGGUGGUUAAUACCCAUCAGGAAAGACAUCACUCACAGAAGAAGCACCGGCUAACUCCGUGCCAGCAGCCGCGGUAAUACGGAGGGUGCGAGCGUUAAUCGGAAUUACUGGGCGUAAAGCGCGCGUAGGUGGCUUGAUAAGCCGGUUGUGAAAGCCCCGGGCUCAACCUGGGAACGGCAUCCGGAACUGUCAAGCUAGAGUGCAGGAGAGGAAGGUAGAAUUCCCGGUGUAGCGGUGAAAUGCGUAGCGAUCGGGAGGAAUACCAGUGGCGAAGGCGGCCUUCUGGACUGACACUGACACUGAGGUGCGAACGCGUGGGUAGCAAACAGGAUUAGAUACCCGAGUAGUC